rnacentral:tRNA from 1 species
GCCUUCGUGGUGCAGUGGCGAGCACGCUCGACGCGUAUUCGAGAGGUCGGUGGUUCGAUUCCCGGCGAAGGCA